UCCGGUUUAACACCGGCAGUCUCCCUAGAGUGCCCAACUUAAUGCUGGCAACUAAGGACAGGGGUUGCGCUCGUUGCCGGACUUAACCGAACAUUUCACAACACGAGCUGACGACAGCCAUGCAGCACCUGUCUCCGUGUCCCCGAAGGGAAAACUACAUCUCUGCAGCGGUCACGGGAUGUCAAGAGUAGGUAAGGUUCUGCGCGUUGCUUCGAAUUAAACCACAUACUCCACCGCUUGUGCGGGCCCCCGUCAAUUCCUUUGAGUUUUAGCCUUGCGACCGUACUCCCCAGGCGGGAUACUUAAUGUGUGAACUGCGGCACUCAAUGGGUUAAUCCAUCGAACGCCUAGUAUCCAUCGUUUACGGCGUGGACUAC
rnacentral:misc_RNA from 1 species